GAUGAACGCUGGCGGCGUGCUUAACACAUGCAAGUCGAACGAGAAGUGAAGACGGAAACCUUCGGGCGGAAGGCUUUAUUUCGAGUGGCGGACGGGUGAGUAACGCGUGGGUAACCUGCCUCAUACAGGGGGAUAACAGUUGGAAACGACUGUUAAUACCGCAUAAGACCACAGCACCGCAUGGUGCGGGGGUAAAAACUCCGGUGGUAUGAGAUGGACCCGCGUUCGAUUAGCCAGUUGGCGGGGUAACGGCCCACCAAAGCGACGAUCGAUAGCCGAUCUGAGAGGAUGUCCGGCCACAUUGGGACUGAGACACGGCCCAAACUCCUACGGGAGGCAGCAGUGGGGAAUAUUGCACAAUGGGGGAAACCCUGAUGCAGCGACGCCGCGUGAGUGAAGAAGUAUUUCGGUAUGUAAAGCUCUAUCAGCAGGGAAGAAAAUGACGGUACCUGAGUAAGAAGCCCCGGCUAACUACGUG
rnacentral:rRNA from 1 species